AUCUCAGCCAUGGCCACCUC
rnacentral:misc_RNA from 1 species